rnacentral:snRNA from 1 species
AUACUUACCUGGCAGGGGAGAUACCAUGAUCACGAAGGUGGUUUUCCCAGGGCGAGGCUUAUCCAUUGCACUCCAUAUGUGCUGACCCCUGUGAUUUCCCCAAAUGUGGGGAAACUCGACUGCAUAAUUUGUGGUAGUGGGGGACUGCGUUCGCGCUUUCCCCUG